rnacentral:rRNA from 1 species
GAAUUCACUAGUGAUUCAGGCCUAACACAUGCAAGUCGAGCGGUAGAGAGAAGCUUGCUUCUCUUGAGAGCGGCGGACGGGUGAGUAAUGCCUAGGAAUCUGCCUGGUAGUGGGGGAUAACGUCCGGAAACGGACGCUAAUACCGCAUACGUCCUACGGGAGAAAGCAGGGGACCUUCGGGCCUUGCGCUAUCAGAUGAGCCUAGGUCGGAUUAGCUAGUUGGUGGGGUAAUGGCUCACCAAGGCGACGAUCCGUAACUGGUCUGAGAGGAUGAUCAGUCACACUGGAACUGAGACACGGUCCAGACUCCUACGGGAGGCAGCAGUGGGGAAUAUUGGACAAUGGGCGAAAGCCUGAUCCAGAAAGGCCGCGUGUGUGAAGAAGGUCUUCGGAUGUACAUUUAAGGGAGUUGGGAGGAAGGGCAGUAAAUUAAUACUUUGCUGUUUUGACGUACCGACAGA